rnacentral:rRNA from 1 species
UGGGGAAUAUUGCACAAUGGAGGGAACUCUGAUGCAGCGACGCCGCGUGAACGAAGAAGGCUUUCGAGUGGUAAAGUUCUUUUAUAUGGGAAGAUAAUGACGGUACCAUAAGAAAAAGCCCCGGCUAACUACGUGCCAGCAGCCGCGGUAAUACGUAGGGGGCUAGCGUUGUCCGGAAUCACUGGGCGUAAAGGGUUCGCAGGCGGAAAUGCAAGUCAGGUGUAAAAGGCAGUAGCUUAACUACUGUAAGCAUUUGAAACUGCAUAUCUUGAGAAGAGUAGAGGUAAGUGGAAUUUUUAGUGUAGCGGUGAAAUGCGUAGAUAUUAAAAAGAAUACCGGUGGCGAAGGCGGCUUACUGGGCUCAUUCUGACGCUGAGGAACGCAAGCGUGGGUAGCAAACAGG